AAGAAAAAAAAUAGAUUAUUUAAUUAACAUGUUACAUAAACAUUACAUAUACAUAGAUUCGAGGUGAAACAGCAGCAAACCUCAGUAUAACCAGAAGGUGGUACUGUACACAAGGAAAAGAAAAGAAAAACGAAAUGGAAAGAGACUAAGAAAGAUACACUUUCCACACACUACCUUUCCUGGUGUCUAAGCAAAGACUGGAUAUAAGGCUUCUCCCAUAAUUCAUUAUUAUAUCUUACUUACCUUUUUCCUUAUUAAGAUUUUUGCAUUAUUAGUAUAAAAGGUUAUUUACCAUCUGAUGGAUAGUAACUAACUAGUAAGGGAAGCCCCAGAGAUUAGGAUUUUCAUCCAUGUAGUCAUAAUCUGUAGCAGAAAAAUUGUCAAAACGAGGAGGGCUGAGUAGCAUUCCUUCAGCCAUGUUGACCAGAAUAUUCGGCAUGUCAAAGAUCAAGUCAUCAUCCACGAAGUGGUUUAAGUUUCCCCCUGGAAACUCUUGUGCCAUUGAAACCGAAAGAUUCCCUCCUCGGCUUCCUUCACUCAGUGCAUCAUUAGCUGCUCCGACGGCGGCUGCAGCACUGGCAGCAGCCAUCUGAAUGUCACGAGCAGCGGAUGAAGCAGGAACGGGAAGAGAAGAGGCGGAGUCAGGGAAGUUGAGUUCGGCAUCCUUCCCCUUAAGAGCAAGCGCUGCCACGUCAUAGGCAAUAGCCGCCAUUUCAGGGGUGGCAAAUGUCCCUAACCAAAUCCUGUUAGGUUUUCUGGGCUCACGGAUUUCAGAAACCCAUUUUCCACUGCUCCUACGCCUCACUCCACGGUACACAGGGUGGCGCCCUGUGUUACCGUUAGAGGCUCCGGUGCUUGAUGCAGCACAUGUGGUACCGUUGCUGGAACGCAUGGUGGUGAUGUGAAGGCUAAGGGAUAUCUGAGGUGAAGGUGGAAGAACUUGGAUGAUGGCAGUUGGCAGUUGAGGGGAGCCAUUUAUUGGGGUUAGAAUUGCGAUGGCUGGAGAAGGAGUUCUGAGAUGGGAGUGCAAACCAGUUGUUGAUGAACUACGGUGUGUGAAGGAUUAGGGUGUAAGCCAGCUUGGUGAUGUUGGAUAACUGGGUUGGAGUUGGAGAGCGUUUUAGCAAAAUUAUAAAAUAAAAAUCAAAAAAUCAAGGGAUUUUGAUAUGUUGGAGAGAACGUAAAAUUCCAUCUUAUUACUAUUAUCUAUAACGCAAUAUAAGAGUGCUGACAUGGAUUUUUCAGUGGCUAAAUUUUAUCAGCCGAGCGAGGUUAUG
rnacentral:sRNA from 1 species